rnacentral:rRNA from 1 species
GAUGAACGCUGGCGGCGUGCCUAAUACAUGCAAGUCGAGCGAAGCGGGGACGGGUGAGUAACACGUGGAUAACCUCCUAUAAGACUGGGAUAAAUUAGGGAAACCGGAGCUCAACCGGAUACUACUAGAUGGAUCCGCGCUGAAGUCACUAGUUGGUAAGGUAACUGCUUACCAAGGCUACGAUGACUAGGUGACCUGAGAGGGUGAUCAGCCACACUGGUACUGGGACACGGUCCAGACUCCUACGAGAGGCAGCAGGGGGGAAUCUUCCGCAAUGGGCGAAAGCCUUACGGAGCAACUCCGCGUGAGUGAUGAAGGUCUUCGGAUCGUAAACCUCUGUUAGUAGGGAAGCGGUACCUAAUCAGAAAGCCACGGCUAACUACGUGCCAGCAGCCGCGGUAAUAC